rnacentral:rRNA from 1 species
UUAAGCGACUAAGCGUACACGGUGGAUGCCCUGGCAGUCAGAGGCGAUGAAGGACGUGCUAAUCUGCGAUAAGCGUCGGUAAGGUGAUAUGAACCGUUAUAACCGGCGAUUUCCGAAUGGGGAAACCCAGUGUGUUUCGACACACUAUCAUUAACUGAAUCCAUAGGUUAAUGAGGCGAACCGGGGGAACUGAAACAUCUAAGUACCCCGAGGAAAAGAAAUCAACCGAGAUUCCCCCAGUAGCGGCGAGCGAACGGGGAGCAGCCCAGAGCCUGAAUCAGUGUGUGUGUUAGUGGAAGCGUCUGGAAAGGCGCGCGAUACAGGGUGACAGCCCCGUACACAAAAAUGCACAUGCUGUGAGCUCGAUGAGUAGGGCGGGACACGUGGUAUCCUGUCUGAAUAUGGGGGGACCAUCCUCCAAGGCUAAAUACUCCUGACUGACCGAUAGUGAACCAGUACCGUGAGGGAAAGGCGAAAAGAACCCCGGCGAGGGGAGUGAAAAAGAACCUGAAACCGUGUACGUACAAGCAGUGGGAGCACGCUUAGGCGUGUGACUGCGUACCUUUUGUAUAAUGGGUCAGCGACUUAUAUUCUGUAGCAAGGUUAACCGAAUAGGGGAGCCGAAGGGAAACCGAGUCUUAACUGGGCGUUAAGUUGCAGGGUAUAGACCCGAAACCCGGUGAUCUAGCCAUGGGCAGGUUGAAGGUUGGGUAACACUAACUGGAGGACCGAACCGACUAAUGUUGAAAAAUUAGCGGAUGACUUGUGGCUGGGGGUGAAAGGCCAAUCAAACCGGGAGAUAGCUGGUUCUCCCCGAAAGCUAUUUAGGUAGCGCCUCGUGAAUUCAUCUCCGGGGGUAGAGCACUGUUUCGGCAAGGGGGUCAUCCCGACUUACCAACCCGAUGCAAACUGCGAAUACCGGAGAAUGUUAUCACGGGAGACACACGGCGGGUGCUAACGUCCGUCGUGAAGAGGGAAACAACCCAGACCGCCAGCUAAGGUCCCAAAGUCAUGGUUAAGUGGGAAACGAUGUGGGAAGGCCCAGACAGCCAGGAUGUUGGCUUAGAAGCAGCCAUCAUUUAAAGAAAGCGUAAUAGCUCACUGGUCGAGUCGGCCUGCGCGGAAGAUGUAACGGGGCUAAACCAUGCACCGAAGCUGCGGCAGCGACGCUGAUGCGUUGUUGGGUAGGGGAGCGUUCUGUAAGCCUGCGAAGGUGUGCUGUGAGGCAUGCUGGAGGUAUCAGAAGUGCGAAUGCUGACAUAAGUAACGAUAAAGCGGGUGAAAAGCCCGCUCGCCGGAAGACCAAGGGUUCCUGUCCAACGUUAAUCGGGGCAGGGUGAGUCGACCCCUAAGGCGAGGCCGAAAGGCGUAGUCGAUGGGAAACAGGUUAAUAUUCCUGUACUUGGUGUUACUGCGAAGGGGGGACGGAGAAGGCUAUGUUGGCCGGGCGACGGUUGUCCCGGUUUAAGCGUGUAGGCUGGUUUUCCAGGCAAAUCCGGAAAAUCAAGGCUGAGGCGUGAUGACGAGGCACUACGGUGCUGAAGCAACAAAUGCCCUGCUUCCAGGAAAAGCCUCUAAGCAUCAGGUAACAUCAAAUCGUACCCCAAACCGACACAGGUGGUCAGGUAGAGAAUACCAAGGCGCUUGAGAGAACUCGGGUGAAGGAACUAGGCAAAAUGGUGCCGUAACUUCGGGAGAAGGCACGCUGAUAUGUAGGUGAAGCGACUUGCUCGUGGAGCUGAAAUCAGUCGAAGAUACCAGCUGGCUGCAACUGUUUAUUAAAAACACAGCACUGUGCAAACACGAAAGUGGACGUAUACGGUGUGACGCCUGCCCGGUGCCGGAAGGUUAAUUGAUGGGGUCAGCGCAAGCGAAGCUCUUGAUCGAAGCCCCGGUAAACGGCGGCCGUAACUAUAACGGUCCUAAGGUAGCGAAAUUCCUUGUCGGGUAAGUUCCGACCUGCACGAAUGGCGUAAUGAUGGCCAGGCUGUCUCCACCCGAGACUCAGUGAAAUUGAACUCGCUGUGAAGAUGCAGUGUACCCGCGGCAAGACGGAAAGACCCCGUGAACCUUUACUAUAGCUUGACACUGAACAUUGAGCCUUGAUGUGUAGGAUAGGUGGGAGGCUUUGAAGUGUGGACGCCAGUCUGCAUGGAGCCGACCUUGAAAUACCACCCUUUAAUGUUUGAUGUUCUAACGUUGACCCCUAAUCGGGGUUGCGGACAGUGUCUGGUGGGUAGUUUGACUGGGGCGGUCUCCUCCUAAAGAGUAACGGAGGAGCACGAAGGUUGGCUAAUCCUGGUCGGACAUCAGGAGGUUAGUGCAAUGGCAUAAGCCAGCUUGACUGCGAGCGUGACGGCGCGAGCAGGUGCGAAAGCAGGUCAUAGUGAUCCGGUGGUUCUGAAUGGAAGGGCCAUCGCUCAACGGAUAAAAGGUACUCCGGGGAUAACAGGCUGAUACCGCCCAAGAGUUCAUAUCGACGGCGGUGUUUGGCACCUCGAUGUCGGCUCAUCACAUCCUGGGGCUGAAGUAGGUCCCAAGGGUAUGGCUGUUCGCCAUUUAAAGUGGUACGCGAGCUGGGUUUAGAACGUCGUGAGACAGUUCGGUCCCUAUCUGCCGUGGGCGCUGGAGAACUGAGGGGGGCUGCUCCUAGUACGAGAGGACCGGAGUGGACGCAUCACUGGUGUUCGGGUUGUCAUGCCAAUGGCACUGCCCGGUAGCUAAAUGCGGAAGAGAUAAGUGCUGAAAGCAUCUAAGCACGAAACUUGCCCCGAGAUGAGUUCUCCCUGACUCCUUGAGAGUCCUGAAGGAACGUUGAAGACGACGACGUUGAUAGGCCGGGUGUGUAAGCGCAGCGAUGCGUUGAGCUAACCGGUACUAAUGAACCGUGAGGCUUAACCUU